GGUCUUCUGGAUCCGUACCAAGAUUUUUUCAGACACCAGACCAUCAGUACUGAUGAGACUUUUAAGAUAAGUGAAGCG
rnacentral:pre_miRNA from 1 species